rnacentral:piRNA from 1 species
UAAAAAAUUAGAGCAAAUCUAAGAGGGAA